UAACUAUAUAUAUUAAUUUUAUAUUUUUUUAAUUUAAAUAAAAUAAUAUUAUUUUUAGUAUAAAUUAUAGAACAAAAUAUUAAUAAUUUUAAACUGUAAAGGUUUAUUUUAAAAAUGAUAAAGUAGUUUUGAUAAUGUACCUUUUGCAUCAGGGUUGAUUAAAAUAAAAUAAGAAUUUAUAUUUCCCGAAAUUAAAAGAGAUUUAAUAAUAUAAUUAUUAAUGUGGUAAAAUUACAUUAAAUAUUAUUAAAGUAAUUAAAUGUUAUUCGAUUUUAAUAUAUCUGGUUUUUUAAUAAUUGAAUUUAAUUCAGGAAUUCUAAUUAUUUAAUUAUAUUAAUAUUUAAUAUUUGUAGAAUUCUAAUAUUAUUAAGGAUAAUCUUAUUAAUAAUUAAUAAAAUAUUUUUUAUUUAUGAAUAUUUUUAGGCUUUAAAGUGGCCAUAAAUGUUUUAAAACAUUUUUUCUUAUUAAAUUAAUUUAAUAAAUAUUUAUUUUUUUAUUAAAAUUUGGUUUUUAAUUACAUAAAAGCUUAAUAAUGAUUAAAUUAGUAUAAUUUGAUAUUAUAUAUAUGAAUUCGGCAAAAUUUAUUUUCGCCUGUUUAACAAAAACAUGGUUUUUUGAUUAAAAUCUAAAAUUUAGUCUGCUCUAUGAUUUAUUAAAUGGCCGCAGUAUUUUAACUGUGCAAAGGUAGCAUAAUCAUUUGUUUCUUAAUUAGGAUCUAGAAUGAAAGGCUGGACGAAAAAUGAACUUUAUUUAUAUAAACAUUAAAAUUUAAUAUUUAUUUUAAAAAGAUUAAAUAAUUAUAAAAGACGAGAAGACCCUAUAGAACUUUAUCAUUAUUUUAUAUUUAAUUACAAUAAUGAUUAUGUUGGGGUGACAUUAGGAACUUUAUCAUUAUUUUAUAUUUAAUUACAAUAAUGAUUAUGUUGGGGUGACAUUAGGAUAUUAAUAACUCCUUUAAUAAAAUUACACUAAUUUGUGUUUUAUUGAUCCUUUAUUAAAGAUAAUAAGUCUAAGUUACCUUAGGGAUAACAGCGUAAUUACUUUGGAGAGCUCAUAUUAAUAAAGUAGUUUGCGACCUCGAUGUUGGAUUAAGAUUAGAUUAAGGUGCAGAAGCUUUAAUUCUAGGUCUGUUCGACCUUUAAAAUCUUACAUGAUCUGAGUUCAGACCGGCGUAAGCCAGGUCGGUUUCUAUCUUUAAAUAUUAAAUAUUGUAGUACGAAAGGACCCUUUAUUUUUAAUGAUUUAAUUUGUUUUUGAUUAAAAAU
rnacentral:rRNA from 1 species